rnacentral:rRNA from 1 species
AUUGAACGCUGGCGGCAGGCCUAACACAUGCAAGUCGAGCGAGCGGCGGACGGGUGAGUAAUGUAUGGGGACUGCCCGAUAGAGGGGGAUAACUACUGGAAACGGUAGCUAAUACCGCAUACUAUCGGAUAACCCAUAUGGGAUUAGCUCGUAGGUGAGGUAAUGGCUCACCUAGGCGACGAUCACUAGCUGGUCUGAGAGGAGGAUCAGCGACAAGGGAACGGAGACACGACCCAGACUCCUACGGAGGGAGCAGUGGGGAAUAGGGAAAAAGGGGCGCAAGCAUGAUGCAGCCAUGCCGCGUGUAUGAAGAAGGCACGAGGGGUGUAAAGUACUUUAAGUCGGGAGGCGUUACCGACAGAAGAAGCACCGGCUAACUCCGUGCCAGCAGCCGCGGUAAUUC